GAUGAACGCUGACAGAAUGCUUAACACAUGCAAGUCUUUGGCGAAGCUGUGCUUGCACAGCCUAGCCAAGGCGGACGGGUGAGUAACGCGUAAGGAACUUGCCCUGCAGUCAGGGAUAACAGACGGAAACGACUGAUAAGACCUGGUAAAGUCAGGCGGACUCAUGUCCAGCCUGAUGAAAAGAGAUGCUGCAGGAGAGCCUUGCGUCCUAUUAGCUUGUUGGUGGGGUAACGGCCCACCAAGGCGAUGAGAGGUAGCCGGCCUGAGAGGGUGGACGGCCACAAGGGGACUGAGAUGCGGCCCUUACUCCUACGGGAGGCAGCAGUGGGGAAUAUUGGACAAUGGGGGCAAGCCUGAUCCAGCAAUUCUGUGUGCACGAUGAAGGUUUUCGGAUUGUAAAGUGCUUUCAGCAGGGAAGAAAAAAAUGACGGUACCUGCAGAAGAAGCGACGGCUAAAUACGUG
rnacentral:rRNA from 1 species